rfam:Ovis aries breed Texel chromosome 15, whole genome shotgun sequence.
UCCCUGGUAGCUUAGCCGGUAAAGUGUCUGCCUACAAUGCAGGAGACCCAGGUUCGAUCCCUGGGUUGGGAA